rnacentral:lncRNA from 1 species
CGAGGUGUGUGCUUCUCGAACCGGGGAUCCCGAGGUGUGUGCUGCUGGAACCGGGGAUCCCGAGGUGUGUGCUUCUCGAACCGGGGAUCCCGCGGUGUGCGCUUCUCGAACCGGGGAUCCCGCGGUGUGCACUGCUCGAACCGGGGAUCCCGAGGUGUGUGCUGCCCGUCCGGGGUCCCGCGGUGUGCGCUGCCCGUCCGGGGAUCCCGAGGUGUGUGCUUCUCGAACCGGGGAUCCCGUCAUGCGUGUGCGGAGCCUGAGGCCCGAACGCCGCUCCAGAGGAGCGGGCGUGUUGGGGUUUUUAGACGGGACUCUUUAAGUUGCCAACUUUGCCCAAGAGCCCGGGCACUGCUCCCGCUGCGGAGCUGUAAGCGGGACCCGCUUGGGCCCUGCGCCUGUUCCAGAGGGAAACGUGAGCUCCCGGGCGCUGGCAGGGACAGGGAAUUGUCGCCGCCCUCGGUGGUUCUCCCCUCUGCAGCCGGCCCGUGUCUGUCGCCGUCACGAGUCCGGAGAGCGGCGGAUCAAGUGCCUCGGGAUAAGUGCGGGGACAGAGACGGGGGGGAACGGACGGUCAAGCUGAGCACUGUGUGGAACUUGGGGCAGGACGGAUCUGGCUUGUGGUGGGAUGUGAGGAGUCAGCCCCUCUGAUGGCUGUUUCAGCCCCCAUCUGAACAGGGAGCACACAGAAGCAUAGAGUGAGUUGUCCUAGCCUAAAGGUAAGCACUGUAAGUCCCACUCCUACUAUUUUUUUUUAAUUAUGUGUAUGUGUUCUUCUCCAGUCACUUAUGCCUGAAGGGGAAGAGAGAUGGGAGGAAAACAUUCUGCUUUUUCAUCCCACGAAAACUCCUUCAAGAAAUACCCUGGGCUAGAGCAGCCAAUAAUUUUAGUCUGAGCAGAGAUUUUCCCAUGACAGAGUUGGCUUUUCUUAGGUUAAUUCCUGGUAUUUUAACUAGGCAGCAAACCAGAGGGUGGAGGAGAAAGGACAUACCUGCAGGUACAAGUCUGAUGUGUAAUGAGAGUUUACCUUCAGUUUUUUUCACACUAGAGGAUUGUGUCCAGCACCUUCUCCUUUUGCUCUAUGCAGUAAGUCCAAGAGCUUUCUGUGCAGGGAUCCUGGGCAAUGCAAGAGCUAAAGCUUUCACAGCAGCAGAGCUUACUCUCCUCUUUGAAAAUGAGCUUGGGUUUCUCUGCAGGCAAGGCCUUUAUAUCUGACAAAAUAUUUUACUUUCCACUGGAAUCUGGUGUGCAGAGAUCCCUAGAAAUAGAGCCAUGUCAGGUACCAUGAGUUCUUGAGAGGCUGGGCCAUGCUUCUAAACCACAUAAAAUGAAAGAGGCAGGCUAAGAGCUCCAUAACCCAGAAGCAUGAGGAAAGGAAACCGGUGGGACUGCUUUGGUUUAGCCCAUUUCGUGGUGCUGGUGCCAAAUGUUCCUGACAGUAUAUUAUUGCAUUCACAGUCCUUGCACACCAAG